rnacentral:rRNA from 1 species
GACGAACGCUGGCGGCGUGCUUAACACAUGCAAGUCGAACGGAAAGGCCCUGCUUUUGUGGGUUGCUCUCGUGGCGCACGGGUGAGUAACACGUGAGUAACCUGCCCUUGACUUUGGGAUAACUUCUGGAAACUGGGUCUAAUACCGGAUAGGUGCUCCUGCCCCUUGGUGGCGGUCGGAAGGUUUCGGCGGUUGGGGAUGGAUUCGCCGCUUAUCGGUUUGGUGGCGUGGUAUGGGCUUACCAAUGCUUUGACGGGUAGCCGGCCUGAGAGGGUGACCGGCCACAUUGGGACUGAGAUACGGCCCAGACUCAUACGGGAGGCAGCAGUGGGGAAGAUUGCACAGUGGGCGGAAGCCUGAUGCGGCAACGCCGCGUGCGGGAUGAGGGGCUGCGGGUUGUAAACCGCUUUCGCCUGUGACGAAGCGAGAGUGACGGUAAUGGGUAAAGAAGCACCGGCUAACUACGUG